UGGGGAAUUUUGGACAAUGGGCGAAAGCCUGAUCCAGCAAUGCCGCGUGUGUGAAGAAGGCCUUCGGGUUGUAAAGCACUUUUGUCCGGAAAGAAAUCCUCUGGGUUAAUACCUCGGGGGGAUGACGGUACCGGAAGAAUAAGCACCGGCUAACUACGUGCCAGCAGCCGCGGUAAUACGUAGGGUGCAAGCGUUAAUCGGAAUUACUGGGCGUAAAGCGUGCGCAGGCGGUUUUGUAAGACGGAUGUGAAAUCCCCGGGCUUAACCUGGGAACUGCAUUCGUGACUGCAAGGCUAGAGUAUGGCAGAGGGGGGUAGAAUUCCACGUGUAGCAGUGAAAUGCGUAGAGAUGUGGAGGAAUACCGAUGGCGAAGGCAGCCCCCUGGGCCAAUACUGACGCUCAUGCACGAAAGCGUGGGGAGCAAACAGGAUUAGAUACCCUGGUAGUCCACGCCCUAAAACGAUGUCAACUAGUUGUUGGGGAUUCAUUUCCUUAGUAACGUAGCUAACGCGUGAAGUUGACCGCCUGGGGAGUACGGUCGCAAGAUUAAAACUCAAAGGAAUUGACGGGGUCAUAGCUGUUUCCU
rnacentral:rRNA from 1 species